AAGACCUUGCGCUUUUGGAGCGGCCGAUGCCUGAUUAGCUUGUUGGUAAGGUAAAAGCUUACCAAGGCUUCGAUCAGUAGCUGGUCUGAGAGGACGGCCAGCCACACUGGGACUGAGACACGGCCCAGACUCCUACGGGAGGCAGCAGUGGGGAAUUUUGGACAAUGGGGGCAACCCUGAUCCAGCCAUGCCGCGUGAGUGAGGAAGGCCUUCGGGUUGUAAAGCUCUUUCAGCCGGAACGAAACGGUUACGGUUAAUACCUGUGAUUACUGACGGUACCGGAAGAAGAAGCACCGGCUAACUACGUGCCAGCAGCCGCGGUAAUACGUAGGGUGCGAGCGUUAAUCGGAAUUACUGGGCGUAAAGCGUGCGCAGGUGGUUUUGUAAGUCAGAUGUGAAAGCCCCGGGCUCAACCUGGGAACU
rnacentral:rRNA from 1 species